GACGAACGCUGGCGGCGUGCUUAACACAUGCAAGUCGAACGGAAAGGCCCUGCUUUUGUGGGGUGCUCGAGUGGCGAACGGGUGAGUAACACGUGAGUAACCUGCCCUUGACUUUGGGAUAACUUCAGGAAACUGGGGCUAAUACCGGAUAGGAUCUCCUGCUGCAUGGUGGGGGUUGGAAAGUUUCGGCGGUUGGGGAUGGACUCGCGGCUUAUCAGCUUGUUGGUGGGGUAGUGGCUUACCAAGGCUUUGACGGGUAGCCGGCCUGAGAGGGUGACCGGCAAAAUUGGGACUGAGAGACGGCACAGACUCCUACGGGAGGCAGCAGUGGGGAAUAUUGCACAAUGGGAGGAAGCAUGAUGCAGCAACGCCGCGUGCGGGAUGACGGCCUUCGGGUUGUAAACCGAUUUCGCCUGUGACGAAGCGUGAGUGACGGUAAUGGGUAAAGAAGCACCGGCUAACUACGUG
rnacentral:rRNA from 1 species